UGCGUAGGCGGCCAGGCAAGUCAGAUGUGAAAGUCCCGGGCUCAACUCGGGAAGUGCAUUUGAAACUGUUUGGCUUGAGUAGGAGAGAGGAAAGUGGAAUUCCUGGUGUAGAGGUGAAAUUCGUAGAUAUCAGGAGGAACACCGGUGGCGAAGGCGGCUUUCUGGCUCUAUACUGACGCUGAGACGCGAAAGCGUGGGUAGCAAACAGGAUUAGAUACCCUGGUAGUCC
rnacentral:rRNA from 1 species